rnacentral:rRNA from 1 species
GACGGGGGGAACGCGAAGAACCUUACCUGGGUUUGACAUAGGGGUAGUAGCGAGGUGAAAGCCGAGCGACCCUUCGGGGAGCCUCUACAGGUGCUGCAUGGCUGUCGUCAGCUCGUGUCGUGAGAUGUUGGGUUAAGUCCCGCAACGAGCGCAACCCUCGUCGUUAGUUACAAGUGUCUAACGAGACCGCUGGUUUCAAACCGGAGGAAGGUGGGGAUGACGUCAAGUCAGCAUGGUCUUUAUGUCCAGGGCUACACACACGCUACAAUGGCCGGUACAAUGGGUUGCCACACCGCAAGGUGGCGCUAAUCCUCAAAGCCGGUCUCAGUUCAGAUUGUCGUCUGCAACUCGACGGCAUGAAGGUGGAGUUGCUAGUAACCGCGCGUCAGCCAUAGUGCGGUGAAUGCGUUCCCGGGUCUUGUACACACGC